CGGCCUGAGGUCGGACGAGGCUACCCGCUGAAUUUAAGCAUAUUACUAAGCGGAGGAAAAGAAACUAACGAGGAUUCCCUCAGUAACGGCGAGUGAAGCGGGACGAGCCCAGCGCCGAAUCCGGCCGCUUAUGGAGCGGACGGAAUUGUGGCGUAUGGAAUUCGCUUCGAGCGCGGACCGGCUGCCCACGUCCUUCUGAUCGAGGCUUCAUCA
rnacentral:ncRNA from 1 species